CCUACGGGAGGCAGCAGUGGGGAAUAUUGGGCAAUGGAGGCAACUCUUACCCAGCAAUGCCGCGUGAAUGAAGAAGGUCUUCGGAUUGUAAAGUUCUUUAAUUGGGGACGAAAAAAAUGACGGUAGCCAAGGAAUAAGCCCCGGCUAACUACGAGCCAGCAGCCGCGGUAAUACGUAGGGGGCAAGCGUUGUUCGGAAUGACUGGGCGUAAAGGGUGUGUAGGCGGUGUAGCAAGUUAGAAGGGAAAUACCUAGGGCUUAACUCAGGUGCUGCUUCUAAAACUGCUUUACUUGAGUGCAGUAGAGGAAAGUGGAAUUCCUAGUGUAGCGGUGGAAUGCGUAGAUAUUAGGAGGAACAUCAGUGGCGAAGGCGACUUUCUAGACUGUAACUGACGCUGAGGCACGAAAGUGUGGGGAGCAAACAGGAUUAGAUACCCGAGUAGUC
rnacentral:rRNA from 1 species